AUUGAACGCUGGCGGCAGGCCUAACACAUGCAAGUCGAGCGACCGGCGGACGGGUGAGUAAUGUCUAGGAAACUGGCUGAGGGGGGUGGAGAACGGCUGGAAACGCUAGCUAAUACCGCAUACAGUCAGGUGUGCCCAGGUGGGAUUAGCUCGUUGGUGGGGUAACGGCCUACCUAGGCGACGAUCCCUAGCUGGUCUGAGAGGAUGACCAGCCACACUGGAACUGAGACACGGUCCAGACUCCUACGGGAGGCAGCAGUGGGGAAUAUUGCACAAUGGGCGCAAGCCUGAUUCAGCCAUGCCGCGUGUGUGAAGAAGGCCUUCGGGUUGUAAAGCACUUUCAGCGGGGAGGCGUUACCCGCAGAAGAAGCACCGGCUAACUCCGUGCCAGCAGCCGCGGUAAUAC
rnacentral:rRNA from 1 species